rnacentral:rRNA from 2 species
CACUCUAAUUGGUGGAUGAGUCGGUUCUCGGGUCGAUGAAGAACCCAGCCAGCUGCGAGACUUCAUGUGAAUUGCAGGACACACUGAGCACUUACUCUUUGAACGCACAUUCGGGCCUCGGGCCUUCUCGUGGCUUCGUCUCUGUGAGGGAUG